rnacentral:piRNA from 1 species
AAAAUACAUGUUGUAGAUAAUUUAUGUGGA